UACGGAGGGGGCUAGCGUUGUUCGGAAUUACUGGGCGUAAAGCGCACGUAGGCGGCUUUGUAAGUUAGAGGUGAAAGCCCAGGGCUUAACCCUGGAAUUGCCUUUAAGGCUGCAUCGCUAGAAUCGUGGAGAGGUGAGUGGAAUUCCGAGUGUAGAGGUGAAAUUCGUAGAUAUUCGGGAAGAAACACCAGUGGCGAAGGCGACUCACUGGACACGUAUUGACGCUGAGGUGGCGAAAGCGUGGGGAGCAAACAGG
rnacentral:rRNA from 1 species